rnacentral:lncRNA from 1 species
CAUGGAAUUAUGAUGCAAAGGAAGAGAAAUGGUGUGAAACCAGAGAUGCCCUCAGCAGAAGAAAGAAAGACAAUCUUGGAAUCAAUGGGGAAGCCCUACUGACUAGAAAUCUGAAUUGAUUGACUUGUUGUCACUGUACAUAUGAAGACUUGGCAGCAGCAAGUUACCAUUUUAUGAACUGGAUUUUACAGUUGCCAUAUGUUGGAUUAAAAUAAGAUCUUAAAUUUUGAAAUGUGGGAGCUUUCUAGGAUAGAAUUUCCUGGGUUUGUUCCUACUUCCUGUCAUAGGAACCUGGCCUCUUUUAUUGGAAGAUACGGGUCUCAAUGCAACUUGUGUAGAAACUUUUGGAAGUAGAAACUACCUUGCUGUGAAAUGCUAAAUAUAAAAUCAAUGGGACUUGAAGAAAGCCUGUUUGAAAACAUGGGUUGGUGAGCAUUGCAGUGUUGUUCUAAGGCUGGAGCAAGUCGAGAAGCUGUGCAAGGCCUUGUCUGGCUCAGAGUCUUCUGCUACCACAAUUGGGAUGAGUCUGUGCUCUUGGAGAUCUUCAAAGGAAGUUCACAGAAUUGCAGAGUAUGCUGAUUUGGAAAAGACCCACAAGGAUCAUUGAAUCCAAGUUGUCUAGCUCUAGAGUCCUGAAAAUUUCUUUGGAUUUAGCUGAAGCGUUUGAAAGGCAAGGAGUUGAAUCAACUGCUGCUCCAAGUCUCUUUCAUGAUCUUGUAAUGGAACUUUUGCACUCAGGCUUCUACCUUGAUGACUCCUAUCUCAAAAUCCUUUUUUGGAAGAAUGGUUCUGAAGAUCCUCAAUCAUUACUUGCUCUUAAAAGUCCCACUACCCUUGAGCUGUGUCUUUACCUGUUUUACUUCAAUAAACUGCUAUGCACUGCAAACACUUCCUGAUAUCAAGUGACUGGCAGAACACAACAGAAUUCUGCAUAGAACAAAACUGAGCUAGUGUCUGUCAAAAUGGAAAACAAUUGUAACAGGGUUAUGUGUAAUGACAAAGAUUAUGCUCAAGAUACUGUAUUUAGUCAAUACCUCAUUUCUAAAAGCAAUUCACAGCUCUAAGACAAAUUUACAAUAGUAGAAAUAGUGUAGGGACAAUAGGGGCCAUCAGCUCACACCUGACUUUGAAGAAUCUCAAAAUUUUUAAUUGAUGAUAAAAGAUUGCAGUUGUUUAGGCAAAAAAAGAUUUUGCAGUGUUUUUAUGGAAAUAGCCUGCUGGUAAUAUUUUGUUACUGUGUCACACAUGGAUCUCACAUUUUUGUUUCCCUGAAAUGGGGUUCCCUGAGCAGUCCUUGUCUGCAACGUUGCCUGCAGCUGUUGAAGCUGUCAGUGAAUGUGGUUGCAUAUUACAAAUAGGGUGGCAUUUUCUCCUAUUUUUAUUAAAUAGUGGAAUUGAAUGAACUUGCUGCAUUGGAAUAUGUCAGUCAUAUAGUGCUUGCUUCAAUCUAUAAAUUACAAAAGGAUGGAAUGAAGCUAACAAGAUAAAUCCUUAGGCAGGAGGUGCACUGUGAAUUUACCUUAUCCUGCAAUAUCAGUUUUGAGUACUUUCUGGCUGAAUUUUUCCUAAUGCUGAAUGAAUUUGAAUGGAUGUUACUGAUAAUCCAAGAAAUGCUGUGUUUCAGUAUUUAUCUAUGUGACAGGUAAACUAAAGUGGUUCUUAAAGCUGAUAGCUCAAGAUGUUGGAAAAACCCUUUUGACUUUCAGAUUGAAAAUGAACAGGUCUUGAGGGUUCUAUACCUGUUGACUGUUGUGUUUAGACAUCAAAAGUCUAUGGAUGACAGAAACUUUGAUCCCAGAAGUCUCUGGUGCUUCAUGUUCUACCUUGCACUUUGGUGCUGACAGUGCUGAUGGACUGCUUGUCCCUGCCUCAACACUGCUGGGAUUUAGGGAAAAAAUAUUUCACCAGCCUUGAGGAUUGACUGUGAAGUCUUCUAGGGUGUAGGUGAACAGAAGGAAAUUUAUUUUUCUGCAAGGCAUUGUUUGAAUGGCCAUCUUUACAGUAAUUCCCUUCAGUAACUGCUGUUCCAUGUCCCUUCUUCCUCCCUCCAGCAGGUGCCUCUGUGUGAUCCUCAGCAUCAGUGCUAACACAGACCUCUACCCUGGGGCAUGUAUCCAGCUGCCCAAUAGCAAAGGGAAAAGGGGAUAAGCAUUGUUCUUCAGCCCAGCUGGACCUCUGAGCACCUCUCUUGUGUCCCUGGGCUGGAAGGGACAAUGUAGGGGUCUGAGUAAGCAGCAAAAUACAGGAAGCAAAUGCUCAAGUCACAGCUGCUCUCACAAGUCAGAAGAGGCUUUCUGUGCUUGAAAAAAGGCUUAGCUGUUCAAAGCUGUGAGCACUCAGGGAUUGUGAUUCUUAAACUCAGAGCUGUAAGACUGGGUCCAGCUGUUACCCUGGCAUUACCCAGUCCACUAUCAAACCCUGUCCCUGAGCACCACAUCUACACAUCAUUCCAAUAGCUCCAGGAAUGGUGACUCCCCCGCUCCCUUGGGCAGCCUCUUCCAAUGGUUGGCAACCCUGUUGGUGAAGAAAAUUUUCCAAGUCUCCAAUCUAAAGCUUCCCCUGGCAAAACAUGAGGCCUUUUCCUCUUGUUUGUUACUUGGGAGAAGAAACUGACUCUCACCUCAUUACAAGCUGCUUUCAGGUUGUUGCAAAGAGCAAUGAGGUUCCCCCAUUGGGCCUCCUUUUCUCCUGGCUAAACAACCCCAGUUCCAUUAGCUGCUUCUCAUAAAAACUUGUGCUCUAGACCCUUCUUGAAGAAUGCCUAGCCUUCCUGGACUUGUUUGCCCUUCUGGACUACUUCCAAAGCAGUGGUAUCAACCAGGCUCCUAAACAGACCAAAAUCUGUCCAGGGGGUGUCCAAUGUGGCAGUUCUGCUGGACACAUCUCCCUCCUACCCCUCUGCUCCCUUCUCUGAGAAUCAAAAACUCAUCUCAUGAUUGCAUGCCCCAGAUAGUUUCCAACAGUCCUUUUCUGUUCACAAACAACGAGGGUGUCUUCCCUAGUUGGCUCCUUCAUCAGCUGUGUUAGGAAGUUUUCUUCCACACUCCAGGAAUGUCCUGGGCUAUUUUCUCUCUGCUGUGCUUUAUGAGGUGGCAAGUAGAUAGAACCUAGAAGGAACCAUGGUCUCCUAGCACCUUCAGCCAGGCAGUCUAAAUAGUCUUUACAGUGUGCUCAUCUGUUUUGUCAUAGAUGUGCUCACACUGCAAUUGCAUGUUGCAAGCAUAUGUGUAUGAGGAGCAGAAAACUACGGAAAAGGCUCGCUGGUAGGUCUUUACUUACAUCUGCAUCAAAAGCAGCUUUCAGGUUUCUGUCCUUUAAAUUUUAAUGUUCAAAACCCUGAGAAUCAAUUACAAUAAUAACACUUCAGUUCUUUUACUGUCGCUGUGAGACAAGAAGAGUUCAUGAAAUGCUUUGGUUUUCUGUGCUGUAGGAAAAUUUCCAGCCAGGAGUUGGUAGAAAGCAUCAGUAUCUCUUUCUCCUCCAGUUUGGCAGCUGCAGGAAAUCAGCCUGCCAGAAAAGCUGCUAUAAAGCUGGAUGUUAGCAAACAGGCAGCUGCUCCUUGAGUCAGGGAAAUCUCAUUCUCUGACCCAAAUGGGUACAGAUCAGCCCAGUUUUGUACAGGUCUGGAAAUGCAGGCUGCUCAUUUUUGGUUGUGCUGGUGAGGUCAUUUGUUGCUGAUUAUUGCUACCAAUUGGCCUCUGUAAAGCCCCAAGAAGCUGACACUGUUUCUAAAAUCAGAGCAAUUUGCUAACUUAAAAUACUGAUUCAUUUGAUUAAUUUGGUUUUGUUCAUAUCCUUUCUUGGGUCUAGAAUUGCUGUUUACUUGUAGAAAAUUAUUCUCUGGGCAAGCUUUUCCUCAUGAUUUAUUUCCAGUUCAGCUUUCACAUUGCUAGAUUCUGCACCAACCCAAGAGAAAAUACAUUUGCUGUUCAGUAAGUGAUUAAUACCAUUGAUGAGAUGUGCCUAACGUAGGAGGUUCACAGAUGUUCUUGCACAAGCCUUUAGAGGGACAUUCAACAUGUGGCAUUGCAGGAACAUACUCAGCAAAUCGCUAGGUAAGGAAAUUGACUUAAUAAACCUCUUUUCAUCAAACUAGUUGGAACCAAAUUAGGUACUUUGCUGAGAAAUUUUUGUUCAUUAGUGCAGUAUAAUUUGCUGUUUACCAAGCUCUGGUUCAGGCAGUGUUUGUGAGGGGACGGCACGGUGGUGUUGGGAGGAGGUUUCCUGCUGGAAGAGGGCAGCUCUGCUGGGAGUGCAACGGUGCUUGCUGCAGAGAUGCUCCUCCCCUGGGUCCUUAAGGAAGGGACACAACACAUUGCUACACAACCCAUCCCAAAGAAAUCGCUUGACAUGAAAACCAAAGAAAGCUGAGCUGUUUGGUAGCCUGUUUGCUGCUUUUCAUUUCAUCAGUGAUAAACACCAGAGAUAAGCUAAAGUAGGAAACUGUCAGAAUAGCAGAAGGCAUCCUAGGACUCUGCUUCCAGUCUCAUAAUUAUUUCUGGGGUUUCUAACAAGGGGUACCAUUCACUGUGCUACCUUCACAUGCAUAAACCCUUUUGUGGGUAGUGAAUGUGUUGGCAUAUGCAGAGUUCUUUCAAAAGUCCAUAUUCAAUACAGAUUUCAACAUCUGGACAACUAGUUAUCUCUCUGUAUCCCCAAGUAGCACAGAAGUUGGCCAUGUUUUAUAAUUAAGUGAUUUCUCCAAAGAGAGAUUAUUGCAGGAAAAGGAAAUUCUUCUUCCAUCAGAAGUUGCACCCUGAAUCUUUUUCUCUCCUGGAAGAUACGUGUGGUAUUUGGGAUAUGCUUUUCUUCACAGUGGAUCUUGGAUUAAGGAUCAUGUGCUUUGGAUUUUGCCUAACAGGUGGCCUGUCAGGUAGCUCACAGGUAAUGUUGACUCCCACAGUAUUUAUCCAAAUGACCUUAAAAUGACUUAUUCAAAGAAACAAAAUGAAGGUCAUAGCCUUUCCCACUUCAACCCCCCCACUCCAAUAGCUGAAGUAGUGACAUCUAAUAUUGGUUUGCCAGAUUAUUUAAUGUAAUGUCACAAGAGACCCUACCUAACAAAACAGUAGUCAGCAAAUGCUAGAUAAUGUAAUAAGUGUAGAAAUAAUAAAGUGGUGUCAUGGGUGGUGAAACACAGGGCUUUUGGAUGCCUUACUCUAAGAAAAGCUAUGAUAAGGAACUGCCCUCAUAAUAAGGUAUGAAACUGUCAUUCUGGCAGUCUAGUAAGCUCUGUUUGACACUGGGAGAAUGAUACCUACCCAGGAACAGCAGGACAUAAUAAAGAGUUCCUGUACUACAAAUAAGGGUAAUAUAAACAAAGUUUUCCUCCUAUGCAUUUCUUAAACUACUUAUGGUAUUUAUGCAGAUCAUAUUACUAGUACCUUUUUUCCUCAGGUACUAAAAACCCCUAAUUCUUGAGAGAAAAAAUAAAGAUGUUUGUCAGUAGCUUGGUGCUUCUUAUGCAUCUGCCUUGAAUUUUUCCCUGCUAUGGAGGACAGCUAAGAUUUAAUUAACUACAAGCAGAAAAAGAACUUUUAAAUUCCUCAUAAAGACCAAAUUCUCCCAGCUGGGCUGAAAAAAACCCCAAAAAUAUGCAAACAAUGGCAGUUAAUGGCAUUUCCAAAUAGGCCUUCUCUAAUCCUAUUAUCAAGAUGGGUAAUUUGUACCUUUACCAAUAGUUUAAUCCCACUCCUCAUGUUCUUACACCUUCAUCCAAGU